rnacentral:rRNA from 1 species
AUGAACGCUGGCGGCGUGCUUAACACCUGCAAGUCGAACGGAAAGGCUCCUGCUUGCAGGGGUACUCGAGUGGCGAACGGGUGAGUAACACGUGGGUGAUCUGCCCUGCACUUCGGGAUAAGCCUGGGAAACUGGGUCUAAUACCGGAUAGGACGAUGGUUUGGAUGCCAUUGUGGAAAGUUUUUCGGUGUGGGAUGAGCUCGCGGCCUAUCAGCUUGUUGGUGGGGUAAUGGCCUACCAAGGCGUCGACGGGUAGCCGGCCUGAGAGGGUGUACGGCCACAUUGGGACUGAGAUACGGCCCAGACUCCUACGGGAGGCAGCAGUGGGGAAUAUUGCACAAUGGGCGCAAGCCUGAUGCAGCGACGCCGCGUGGGGAAUGACGGCCUUCGGGUUGUAAACUCCUUUCGCUAGGGACGAAGCGCAAGUGACGGUACCUGGAGAAGAAGCACCGGCUAACUACGUG